rnacentral:lncRNA from 1 species
CCAGGAAGGCACGAGCUGCAGGAACAUCCACUUCUUGAGAGCAGUGUACAGAUCCAUCUCCACUUGCAUCACGAAGAGAUUAGAAGAGCUGAUCAGCUGCUUCAUGAGGUUUAUGCUGAGCUCUUUGAAGAGUUCAACGCUCUGGUGAGUCAUCAGGUUGUUCAGCAGCCACUCGAGGCACCUCUUCUUCACCGAGUCCAACCCGUACGUCCCCGCCGAGUUGUAAUAACUGCACACAGUUUUGGCAUUGAUGGUUUCCUUCAUCGUUUCCCCGCACUGCAGGAUCAGACCGUCCAGCUGCAGCAUGCAGGCGGCCGCCAGCAGCGCAACCACUCGGCCGGGCUUUAUCAGCACAUCAUCCCGGUACAGAGAGCCGAAUGCCACCUGCAGGGCCUCUAUGUCGAUGUUCUGGUCGGGGAUCUCCAGCUCGAUGGUAUCCAUGCAGGAUUCCUUCCAGGAGCCGCUGAACAUGCUGGAGAAGUAUCCUGACUGGCGCAGGUACACUUUGUGUAAGUUCCACUCCUCUCCCAGGGCGCAGAUUUUGAUGUCGCUGUUCUCUCCGUUCAGAAACAGAGUCUGGUAAAUAUACAUGGAGGUGCUUUUCAGCUUUUUCCUGCGGGGGGCGCUGUGGAGCCGCUCUUCCCGCUCGCUGUCGCUGUCGCUCUCGCUGUCACCGGGCCCUUCGCCCCCUCCGCGCUUUCUCUUUCCUCCUCGACGCCCCCCACCCCCUCCGCCGCGGCCG